rfam:Neosartorya udagawae DNA, contig:Aud0142, strain: IFM 46973.
GCGUUAGUGGUGUAGCGGUUAGCAUUAUUGCCUUCCAAGCAAUAGAUCUGGGUUCGACUCCCAGCUAACGCA